rnacentral:lncRNA from 1 species
CCCCUUUUUCCACUGUGAUUGGGACUGUGAGCAAGCAGUAGGAGAUGUAGGAAGAGGCGAGCAAGCGGUUUGAGAUGGAGGAAGAGGUGAACAAGCAGUGGGAGAUGGAGGUAGAGGUGAGCAGGCACCGGGAGCUGGAGGAAGAGGCAAGGGAUGAGGCGGGCUUCUCAAACCAUCAAUCAUUUUCAAUGGUGACCUUGGGCUAAACCCGAAUUCUUUUGAAUGUACAUUACUAUUCAUAGCAAAGGUAUGGGUUUUUCGGCCAGGGGAAGGGCUCCUCGUUCUUGGACCAAAU